GCAAGCCAGCACAUCUGGGAAUGAAUACUGAUGUGCACAAGAAAUGCUUCCCACUUGGUGGAGAGGAGUCACUUUGGACAGGAUACUGUCUUGAUAGUCUGAAUCAUUGGCCCCGCUCUCAAUAAAGUACAGAAGAUGGAUA